UACGGAGGAUGCGAGCGUUAUCCGAAUUUAUUGGGUUUAAAGGGUGCGCAGGCGGCACGGCAAGCCGGCGGUCAAAUCGCGGGGCUCAACCCCGCCCAGCCGUCGGAACUGCCGGGCUAGAGUGGGCGAGAAGUGCGCGGAAUGCGUGGUGUAGCGGUGAAAUGCAUAGAUAUCACGCAGAACUCCGAUUGCGAAGGCAGCGCACCGGCGCCCUACUGACGCUCAGGCACGAAAGCGUGGGUAUCGAACAGG
rnacentral:rRNA from 1 species